rnacentral:lncRNA from 1 species
UCAGGGUACAUCUGGCUGGUGUCUUGAUCACUACAAAUGCUAGUGACCAAGACAGAGGAUCUGCAGAUGACUUGUCUCCCCCACCCAGGGACCAGAUGCUGUGGGAGCCAGUGCCACUGAUCUCAGCCAAGAGGCUAAGAAGUGAUGAGCGCGCACACACACGAGCCAUCAGGACGCAGAAGUAAGACUGCUAUUUAACCUCAGAAUCCACUUCGGACUGCUAUGUGUCUUGAAAAUUUCAGCAAUGGAUGCAAGGAUAUUUCCUGAGGUCAUGGAAACUGGAAAAGCCAGUGGAAACCAGGCAGACACAGUUCAUAAGGAGAAUACAGUGGAUCUCUCAAACAACCCCAGACAUCCCCCUACCACGAUGUCAAGGCAAAGGAGUCCACUGAAUUGUAUUCACCAGAUGGUCAGGCUACAGGGACACAGCCAUUCUGUCCCUCUGCUCAGGACAACUGUGAAAAGCUCCUCUCUGGGAGACUGGCAACAUUAGAAAGAUUAUAAACGUGGCCACUGAGACUGUAGCUCAGUACUGGCCCAUUACUGGAGAAGACCAGGCCCACUGUUGCAUUUUAAACACUGCAUAUCCUUCAACCCUCUAAACCUUUCAGUGCCUAGCCUACACAUGUGUGCACACCUGCACACUUACAAAAUGCACUCACACCCGACUGAUCAGCAGAGCUGAAGCCCAGAAAUAAGAAGCAUUUUUUUCAAUAGAUGGUUAAGGAAACUGUGGAACAUGUGUACCACAGAAAGUGGGUGUUCUUGGUGGACUGCUAUAGACAGAAGUGAGGAAGACCAAGUCCAGAAGAAAUGCUUGGACCGUUUGGAUAAACAGCAUGGGUUGCACAAGCACCUGCCUGUCUGUUCAGAAGUGAGAAUGGGCUCCCUCCAGCAGACAGAAGAAAAGACUGGAGAACAACUUAACCCAAGCCAAGCUCCCCAACUCCUUAAAUAAUCCAUACGGCAACUAGAAAAUGAUCUAGUCAUGAAGGGUUUGGCAAGAUGGAACAGCAGGUAAAAGCGCUUACCACGCCAGCCUGACAACAAGAAUCAGGUUCUUGGACCCCCCACAUUCAAAGGAGAGCACAGAGGAAGCAGCCCCCACCCCCAGCUGUGUCACGAACGCUGCUGUGUGCAUGCG